CACCAUCCCGGAGAUCAGAGCUUGC
rnacentral:piRNA from 1 species